AAGGGAGACCUAAUUCAGGUAGGAGACGAAAAAAAAGUAGUCGCUACCAAGAAUCAAUCCCAAAAGGUCGGAGCGAGGCGAAAUUGGCUUUCAAACUAGGUUCUGGGUUCACACAAGACCUGAAUCAGGAACAAGGGCUAUUAGCUCAGGUGGUUAGAGCGCACCCCUGAUAAGGGUGAGGUCCCUGGUUCGAGUCCAGGAUGGCCCACCUGUACAGGUGGCAAAAAGAAAGAAAAGAAGCGAGGAAUCAGCACCUUAUCUUACUGACAUAGUAAGAGAGAAUGCUGGCUCUGAGUAAAGAGUCCAGAGGAACCUUGAAAACUGCAUAGAGCUAGGUGAAAAAGCCAAAAAAGAAGACCGCAA
rnacentral:tRNA from 3 species